rnacentral:rRNA from 1 species
GAAUUAUUUAAUAUCUUCCUCCAACCCAAUGUGAACCAUACCAAACUGUUGCCUCGGCGGGGUCACGCCCCGGGUGCGUCGCAGCCCCGGAACCAGGCGCCCGCCGGAGGGACCAACCAAACUCUUUUCUGUAGUCCCCUCGCGGACGUUAUUUCUUACAGCUCUGAGCAAAAAUUCAAAAUGAAUCAAAACUUUCAACAACGGAUCUCUUGGUUCUGGCAUCGAUGAAGAACGCAGCGAAAUGCGAUAAGUAAUGUGAAUUGCAGAAUUCAGUGAAUCAUCGAAUCUUUGAACGCACAUUGCGCCCGCCAGUAUUCUGGCGGGCAUGCCUGUCCGAGCGUCAUUUCAACCCUCGAACCCCUCCGGGGGGUCGGCGUUGGGGACCUCGGGAGCCCCUAAGACGGGAUCCCGGCCCCGAAAUACAGUGGCGGUCUCGCCGCAUCCUCUCCUGCGCAGUAGUUUGCACAACUCGCACCGGGAGCGCGGCGCGUCCACGUCCGUAAAACACCCAACUUUCUGAUAUGUUGAACCUCGGAUCGGGAAGGAAUACCCGCUGAACUUACCCAUAUCAAUAA